UUUAUGGAGAGUUUGAUCCUGGCUCAGGAUGAACGCUGGCGGCGUGCCUAAUACAUGCAAGUCGAGCGAACGGACGAGAAGCUUGCUUCUCUGAUGUUAGCGGCGGACGGGUGAGUAACACGUGGAUAACCUACCUAUAAGACUGGGAUAACUUCGGGAAACCGGAGCUAAUACCGGAUAAUAUUUUGAACCGCAUGGUUCAAAAGUGAAAGACGGUCUUGCUGUCACUUAUAGAUGGAUCCGCGCUGCAUUAGCUAGUUGGUAAGGUAACGGCUUACCAAGGCAACGAUGCAUAGCCGACCUGAGAGGGUGAUCGGCCACACUGGAACUGAGACACGGUCCAGACUCCUACGGGAGGCAGCAGUAGGGAAUCUUCCGCAAUGGGCGAAAGCCUGACGGAGCAACGCCGCGUGAGUGAUGAAGGUCUUCGGAUCGUAAAACUCUGUUAUUAGGGAAGAACAUAUGUGUAAGUAACUGUGCACAUCUUGACGGUACCUAAUCAGAAAGCCACGGCUAACUACGUGCCAGCAGCCGCGGUAAUACGUAGGUGGCAAGCGUUAUCCGGAAUUAUUGGGCGUAAAGCGCGCGUAGGCGGUUUUUUAAGUCUGAUGUGAAAGCCCACGGCUCAACCGUGGAGGGUCAUUGGAAACUGGAAAACUUGAGUGCAGAAGAGGAAAGUGGAAUUCCAUGUGUAGCGGUGAAAUGCGCAGAGAUAUGGAGGAACACCAGUGGCGAAGGCGACUUUCUGGUCUGUAACUGACGCUGAUGUGCGAAAGCGUGGGGAUCAAACAGGAUUAGAUACCCUGGUAGUCCACGCCGUAAACGAUGAGUGCUAAGUGUUAGGGGGUUUCCGCCCCUUAGUGCUGCAGCUAACGCAUUAAGCACUCCGCCUGGGGAGUACGACCGCAAGGUUGAAACUCAAAGGAAUUGACGGGGACCCGCACAAGCGGUGGAGCAUGUGGUUUAAUUCGAAGCAACGCGAAGAACCUUACCAAAUCUUGACAUCCUUUGACAACUCUAGAGAUAGAGCCUUCCCCUUCGGGGGACAAAGUGACAGGUGGUGCAUGGUUGUCGUCAGCUCGUGUCGUGAGAUGUUGGGUUAAGUCCCGCAACGAGCGCAACCCUUAAGCUUAGUUGCCAUCAUUAAGUUGGGCACUCUAAGUUGACUGCCGGUGACAAACCGGAGGAAGGUGGGGAUGACGUCAAAUCA
rnacentral:rRNA from 1 species